AAAUAAACAACAUAUAAUCAGUAUGAAAAUGCAAAAAUAAUAUAGAAGAUCAAAUGUUAAAUUUAACAAGAGAUUAAUAUAAGAAAUCUAUCUUCAUUUGCUAAUGUUGUAGACAUUUUUCGAUUUAUUGAUUUUAAAUUAUGUAUAACUUUUAAGAAAUUUGUUACUAAAACAAUCAAAAUAAUUAUAAACAAAUAACCCGGGCGUAGCCCGAACAAAAUCCCUAGUUAUUUAUAUCUUACAAUACUAAAAGUUCUAAAAGUGUCCACAUCAUCUGUUUAAUUCCACCAAUCAUAAGGUUGUCUGAUGCCACGUCAUGCCGUCAUCGAUCGAUAACAGAUUAAUAGUGUGUAAGUUUUUUUUUGGAAUGAUAUGGGCUUUCUCAUAUGAUCUGUAAAUAUUUUUCUCUCUAUAACUUAAUGCCGCGAAUUUCUUUUCCUUUUCACUAUUAGUCCUAACUCCUAACUUAAGAGUAAAUAAAAAAACGUAUGAAUUAUGAUCUAUAAAUGAAAGAUAUAUCUUAAACAUACGUAUUUAAUUCGAUCGGUGACAUUCAUGCCGAAGAUGAACGGUUUGGAACUUAUAUAUAAAAGUGAAAAGAAUAACUCAAAGAACAAAAUUACAUUAGAAUCACCUUCCACUCUUCCAUUUCACUUUUUGCUUUCAGAAGCCAGAGAGCUGCUACGAUUUGCCUCAUGAUCUUUUUUUCCAAAACAAAAACUCUCGAACCUAUUUUAGUUGCUGGCAAAUUCAUGCCUCUUCCAUAUCACCGUAUCCUCCUCAUUUUCUGUCGGUGGAGGUCGUCUAUUGUGGUGUUGGAUCACCGGGACAGAGGAAAGUCCACAGACUACGACGAGUGAAUCUUGAUGAACUAGGUGCCAUGGAAUAAUCGCUGGAAGGCUAACUCAAUAUUGCUUUCACGGAGAGUAAAUCUCUCUUCGCCGCGCUUAAGAGCAGAAACAUGGCUGAUCGGCUUCUUCCACUAAGAGGAAGCAUGCGUCUAGGAGAUAAGAAGAUCAAAAGGAUGCUGAAGUUGACGCAUUAGAGCUACACCACCAUCGACGAUCUGGAGAAAGUAUCCAUGGCCGUCGCUUCUCAAAUUAAUGGCGGCGGAGGAGGCACGAAAUGAAGCUAUUGGCGGUGGUGGUCAGUUCUAGGUUACAAACAAAUCUACUGAUCUCUUUGUCUCAAUAUCUAACACAAUUUUGGUGUAUUUCUUCUACGAUUUAAUUUUCUUAGGUUGUGAUUAAUAAAAAUUGUCAUUUUAUUUUUUUACUUACU